rnacentral:rRNA from 1 species
GAAAAGAACCCCGGAAGGGGAGUGAAAUAGAACCUGAAACCGUGUGCCUACAACCGAUCGGAGCACGUUAAAGUGUGACGAUGUGCUUUUUGUAGAACGAGCCAGCGAGUUACGCUAUGUAGCAAGGUUAAGUACUUAAGGUAUGGAGCCGAAGGGAAACCGAGUCUGAAAAGGGCGAAAAGUUGCAUGGUGUAGACCCGAAACCGGGUGACCUAUCCAUGGCCAGGUUGAAGCGAGAGUAAAAUCUCGUGGAGGACCGAACCACGUUGGUGUUGAAAAACCAUGGGAUGAGCUGUGGAUAGCGGAGAAAUUCCAAUCGAACUCGGAGAUAGCUGGUUCUCCUCGAAAUAGCUUUAGGGCUAGCGUCGUGUAAUUGAGUAAUGGAGGUAGAGCACUGAAUGGGCUAGGGGCUAUAGUAGUUACCGAACCCUAUCAAACUCCGAAUGCCAUAUACUUGUAUCACGGCAGUCAGACUGCGAAUGAUAAGAUCCGUAGUCAAAAGGGAAACAGCCCAGACCAUCAGCUAAGGUCCCAAAGUGUAAGUUAAGUGGAAAAGGAUGUGGGAUUUCUAAGACAACUAGGAUGUUGGCUUAGAAGCAGCCACUCAUUUAAAGAGUGCGUAAUAGCUCACUAGUCAAGAGAUCCUGCGCCGAAGAUGUCCGGGGCUCAAACUUACCACCGAAGCUAUGGGUGUACACUAUGUGUACGCGGUAGAGGAGCUUUCUGUAUGGGUUGAAGUCGUACCGUAAGGAGCGGUGGACUGUACAGAAGUGAGAAUGCUGGCAUAAGUAGCGAGAAAUAAGUGAGAAUCUUAUUGGCCGAAAACCUAAGGUUUCCUGGGGAAGGUUCGUCCGCCCAGGGUUAGUCGGGACCUAAGCCGAGGCCGAAAGGCGUAGGUGAUGGACAAUCGGUUGAUAUUCCGAUACCGCCUAUUUACGUUUGAGA